rnacentral:lncRNA from 1 species
GCUAGUGGUGAUACAUAUCCAUAUAUGACCAGAAGAGUAAAUCUGGCACCACAGAAAGAAUUUUACGAGGUCAAGGUAAUAAUGCUUAAAGAUACACUUCUAAGUUUGAGUCAAUCUCAUAUCAAAAUCUUCAGACACUGUUUCUAUCCAAUUAAUAAUGCUGUGGACCAGGUCCCUGUAUUAGUGUAAAACAACUGAAGAAAG